AUUGAACGCUGGCGGCAGGCCUAACACAUGCAAGUCGGGCGAAUCUAGCUUGCUAGAUGAGCGGCGAACGGGUGAGUAACGCGUAGGAAUCUGCCUGGUAGUGGGGGACAACGUUCCGAAAGGGACGCUAAUACCGCAUACGCCCUACGGGGGAAAGCUGGGGACCUUCGGGCCUAGCGCUAUCAGAUGAGCCUGCGUCGGAUUAGCUAGUUGGUGGGGUAAAGGCCCACCAAGGCGACGAUCCGUAACUGGUCUGAGAGGAUGAUCAGUCACACCGGAACUGAGACACGGUCCGGACUCCUACGGGAGGCAGCAGUGGGGAAUAUUGGACAAUGGGGGCAACCCUGAUCCAGCCAUGCCGCGUGUGUGAAGAAGGCCUUCGGGUUGUAAAGCACUUUAGGUCGGGAGGAAGGUUCGCUGGCUAAUAUCCAGCGGAAUUGACGUUACCGACAGAAUAAGCACCGGCUAACUCCGUGCCAGCCGCCGCCGUAA
rnacentral:rRNA from 1 species